rnacentral:ncRNA from 2 species
CUCUUAUCCCGAGCUGGUGGAGGGGUCAGGCCCUAUGAAACCCGGCAACCUGUAAUUUUUUUAUUGCAAAGGUGCCCAACCUGAGACAAGGUGAGAUUCCUUGAUUGAUAAGAG